rnacentral:rRNA from 1 species
GAUGAACGCUGGCGGCGUGCCUAAUACAUGCAAGUCGAGCGAACAGACGAGGAGCUUGCUCCUCUGACGUUAGCGGCGGACGGGUGAGUAACACGUGGAUAACCUACCUAUAAGACUGGGAUAACUUCGGGAAACCGGAGCUAAUACCGGAUAAUAUAUUGAACCGCAUGGUUCAAUAGUGAAAGACGGUUUUGCUGUCACUUAUAGAUGGAUCCGCGCCGCAUUAGCUAGUUGGUAAGGUAACGGCUUACCAAGGCGACGAUGCGUAGCCGACCUGAGAGGGUGAUCGGCCACACUGGAACUGAGACAAGGUCCAGACUCCUACGGGAGGCAGCAGUAGGGAAUCUUCCGCAAAGGGCGAAAGCCUGACGGAGCAAAGCCGCGUGAGUGAUGAAGGUCUUCGGAUCGUAAAACUCUGUUAUUAGGGAAGAAAAAAUGUGUAAGUAACUAUGCACGUCUUGACGGUACCUAAUCAGAAAGCCAAGGCUAAAUACGUG